AGCGAACGCUGGCGGCAGGCUUAACACAUGCAAGUCGAGCGGGCAGAGCAAUAUGUCAGCGGCAGACGGGUGAGUAACGCGGGGGAACGUACCUGUUGGUUCGGAACAACACAGGGAAACUUGUGCUAAUACCGGAUAAGCCCUUACGGGGAAAGAUUUAUCGCCGAAAGAUCGGCACGCGUCUGAUGAGCUAGUUGGUGAGGUAAGGGCUCCCCAAGGCGACGAUCAGUAGCUGGUCUGUGAGGAUGAUCAGCCACAUUGGGACUGAGACACGGCCCAAACUCCUACGCGAUGCAGCAGUGGGGAAUAUUGGACAAUGGGCGCAAGCCUGAUCCAGCCAUGCCGCGUGAGUGAUGAAGGCCCUAGGGUUGUAAAGCUCUUUUGUGCGGGAAGAUAAUGACGGUACCGCAAGAAUAAGCCCCGGCUAACUUCGUG
rnacentral:rRNA from 1 species